GCCGGGGUGGCGGAACUGGCAGACGCACAGGACUUAAAAUCCUGCGGUGAGWGAUCACCGUACCGGUUCGAUUCCGGUCCUCGGCACCA
rnacentral:tRNA from 2 species